CGAACGCUGGCGGCGUGCUUAACACAUGCAAGUCGAGCGGAAAGGCUCCUUCGGGGGUACUCGAGCGGCGAACGGGUGAGUAACGCGUGAGUAAUCUGCCCUUGGCUUCGGGAUAGCCACCGGAAACGGUGAUUAAUACCGGAUACGACACAUCACUGCAUGGUGCGUGUGUGGAAAGUUUUUUCGGCCAGGGAUGUGCCUGCGGCCUAUCAGCUUGUUGGUGGGGUAAUGGCCUACCAAGGCUUCGACGGGUAGCCGGCCUGAGAGGGUGACCGGCCACACUGGGACUGAGACACGGCCCAGACUCCUACGGGAGGCAGCAGUGGGGAAUAUUGGACAAUGGGCGGAAGCCUGAUCCAGCAACGCCGCGUGAGGGAUGACGGCCUUCGGGUUGUAAACCUCUUUCAGCACAGACGAAGCGCAAGUGACGGUAUGUGCAGAAGAAGGACCGGCCAACUACGUGCCAGCAGCCGCGGUAAUACGUAGGGUCCGAGCGUUGUCCGGAAUUAUUGGGCGUAAAGGGCUCGUAGGCGGUUUGUCGCGUCGGGAGUGAAAACACCGGGCUUAACUCGGUGCUUGCUUCCGAUACGGGCAGACUAGAGGCAUUCAGGGGAGAACGGAAUUCCUGGUGUAGCGGUGAAAUGCGCAGAUAUCAGGAGGAACACCGGUGGCGAAGGCGGUUCUCUGGGAAU
rnacentral:rRNA from 1 species